rnacentral:rRNA from 1 species
UACGUAGGGGGCGAGCGUUACCCGGAUUCACUGGGCGUAAAGGGGGUGUAGGCGGCUUGGCAAGUCGGGUGUGAAAUCCCACGGCUCAACCGUGGAAUUGCGCCCGAAACUGCCAAGCUUGGGGCCGGUAGAGGGAGACGGAACUGCCGGUGUAGGGGUGAAAUCCGUAGAUAUCGGCAGGAACGCCGGUGGGGAAGCCGGUCUCCUGGGCCGCGCCCGACGCUGAGGCCCGAAAGCUAGGGGAGCAAACCGG